GGGCUCCAAUCGUGGGCUUUUAACGUAGCGGGUAAAGUUUGUAUUAUUUUAGGCUUUAGAGAUGCUUGCCGCCUCAGUUUGGGAAAUCGGAUCGUCGACUUUCUGGAUGAAUUAACACUAGGUCCCCAUUCAUCCCACGAUUUAUCAUUGAAGAUAUCCCACCAUUACUUCUUUGCUUAGGAUCUUCUACUAUAAAAGGGUUACUUCUGUGUAUCCAACCGACAAGGAGAUUAAACUGCGACGGGUGAUGAGGUGGUGAAGUGGAUUAUAGAGACGCGGAGAUACAGAGACAGUGAUGAUUGGAUUUAUGAUGAGGUGGAGGAUUGGGUUUGAGAAGAGUAGAUGUCGCUGAAGCUGAAUUCAUUGUCAGGACUUGGGGAAAGUUGUAAAACCAUUCACUCUAGCUCAAAAUUUCAUCAAUAAAUCCAUUUACAUCAUAUAUCUUGAUGCACUUAGCGAUUUGUUUUGUCGAACCUAACGACGGUGAUAAAUACGGCUAGAUUCGCCACUACGGUCGUCGGAAUCAGAUAGGAAAUCCAGUGAUUUCUGCCAGAGCUUUCAUCAUAAAAAUAGGUUGUUAUCUCCUCUGUUCUUAUUCAUUCCUUUCUCAACAUCUCUGUACGACAUUAUUGUUUUCUCUCUCUCUCACCUCAAUAUCUUAGAUUUAUCUUCGAUGUGGUUAUAUAAAUUGAAACUAUGAUUAACCGGUCAAUGCAAAACCAUGAGAAAUAGUUUGAAGGAAGAAAAGAGGAUGAAUUAGAGGGAGAAGAGAUUGAGACAGAGCAUCCGUAACGGGAGGAAUCAAGGAUUUAAGACAAAAUUUGUGAUUAUUAUUAGUCUUUGGGUCGAUCUUUGGGGAAUUAAGUUAAGAAUAGAGCUUUUGGUGGUGCGUCAAUGGUGAGUUAGGCGAUGGUGCAACCUCUUUUCCAAGGUUUUGUGCAGCUCAUCCAAGGCACAUGUUCGAGAGUCAGACGACAAGUCAAAAUGGACAAUAUUCAAGGUUUUGACUCUAUUCUAACUUAAAAAAACAACUAACUUUACGUCUGCAGUGGUGAUUAUUGCAUGAUAAUAUCCCAAGUAGAGAUCAUGAGUUGUUGAAUUUGGAGAAAAUAACAUUUGUAGUCGGGAAUGUUAUGAAACUCGGGUCAGGCUUUUUCUAUCUUGAAACUAUUUCUCUUCAAACUUUUGGAAUAUCAUUGUAAGCUUCAAAAAUAGGCUAUGGGAGUUUUAGUAUGAAUAAUUGUCUCCCUCUUACACUGUUACAUUGUCAAGUUAUGCCAUUUAAAUUGAAAAUCGUGUGUUCAUAUGUUGUUUAAAAAGUAGUAGAAAGUGUUUAUUAUAUUGCUCAUGAAGUAUCAAGAAGAAAUUACAGAAAGGAGAUCGAUAUUUGGAUUGUAAAGAUUAUUAUAUACAUCUUGCUUUGUGGUGUGCUUCUUUUUUGGGUGGUAAUAUAAAGUUAACAUGUACUUUGAUUGUUCAAUUUGAUUAUGAAAAUGGGAUAUUUGAUGAAAUAUGGAUUAUAGGAUUUUGUUUAAUACAGCGCACACUAAAAGUUACAAAACAGAAUUACUUCUUCAGGAAACGAAUGUAAAAGAGCAUUUAUAUCUGGUUGAGUUCAUCUUGAUUUUUUUUAUUUUUAGAAAGGACUUAAUUCAUCUUGAUUUUCCAAAUUGUUAAUUGUUAUAUUACACUUUGUACUUUUAUUGUUUAGUAUAUUUCAUUCCAUAUAUAGUUAUGAUAUUAUUAAACUAUUUAUAUAGUAUUUUUAAAUUGACAUUUAAUUAUUUAAUCAUUUUUUUAUUUUUAACUGAUUUAGGUUGGAGUUAGCCUAAUUUAUUAACAUGAAAAAUUAGUUAGUGCAAUUUAAAAAAAAAAUUAAAAUUUCUUGAAUUAAAUAUAGUAAUAUUUAUUUAAACUUUAGAUUUUCUAUUAUUAUGUCAAAGUGAAAUAUAAUAAUAACAAGAUAUAUAUUAUUACAUUUUCUAAAUUAUUUUACUAAUUAUAUAUUCUCUGAAAAUAGAGAAAAAAGAAGAUUAGUGUCACUUUAAUUCAAAUUAAAAAUGAUUAUUAAAAGUAACAAUACGAUCUCUGAAUUUUAUUCAUUAUUUGUUUGUUUAUAAUAUAGUUUCUAUAUACUGUUUUUUUAAAAGCUUCACAAAAUGAUAUAAUUCAUAUAAAAUAGUAUUUAUUAUAAAUUCCCUCCCGUAGGGCGGACUGAUCCUAGUAAGUAAAUAAACAAAAUAUUUUAUAAAAAGCAGUAAAUACAUAUAUAUCUUAAGUGAUUAAAAUGUAUUUUAAAACAAAAAAAAUGAGCUUAUUUUAUUCUAAAUUCUUCUAAAUCGAACAUAAAAUUCUUAGAAAUCAAUAAUUUCAUAUUCUUCGUUAUUAACAUUCAAUUAGAUAAAAGUAAUAAUGUAAAAUUUGAAUUAAUUGGAUGACAUUAACACUUUUAAUUUGUUUAAGUAAAAAAUAACAAUAAAUAAAAGUUAAAGGAAUAGUUUGUAAAUAAAAGAGUUCAUCUUCAUCAAAAUUUGAAGAAAUGAAGAAAAAAUGAAGUAGCAAUGAAGUAAAAAAUGAAGCAAAAAAUGGAAAAUGAAGCACCAUUGGAGAUGCUCUAAGUAUCAUCUUCAAAGGACUUGCAUGAUAACGCAAAUUGAAGAUAAAUUCAUAUAUGUAUAGUUUAAUUCCAUAAUUCAUAAUCAUAUAAAGAACCAAAUUUCUAAUUUGAUAAUUGGUCUCCAUUGGAACGGAUUAUUGAUUUAAUAGGGCCUAGAGGUUGUAUUGAUCUAGGAAUCAAUAUCAAUGCCACUGUGGAGACAACUGUGAAUCAGUAUAGAAGGCGUAGGCACAGGGUUGAGACUCUAUGCACCAUUGAAAAGGAGAUACUGAUAUUGAGAAACCAAGGGCUGGGACACAAUGAGGAUAUUUGACUGUGGAAAGGAACUGGGACAGGUUUCAUAGAGGUUUCAGCACUAGCCAGGCGUGGCAGCUUCUGAGAGUAUCUAGUCCUAUAGUGAGUUGGUACAAGGGAGUUUGGUUCUCUGUUGCAACCCCAAAGUUCUCUGUGAUAACUUGGCUUGCGAUCCGAGAUAGACUGGCCACAGGGGAGCGAGUCUUGAGAUGGAAUCCGCAAGCAGAUGCUACAUGUGUACUGUGCAGUGGCAGAAUGGAAACGAGAGAUCAUUUAUUCCUUUGUUGGCCCUAUUCAGAAGAGAUAUGGCGGAAGCUAAUUGGGAACCUGGUUGGUUGAGAUACACAACUAUCUGGACUGAGCUACUUGAUCCGGUGAUGGACAAGAGAAGGGAUGACACAAUAUUAUUUCUUACUUGAUAUACCUUUCAGGCUAUGGUAUACUCGAUAUGGAGAGAGUGGAACAAUAGGAGGCAUGGCGAACCUCCACAAAGCGCAAUUCAAAUUGUCAAGUACAUUGACAAGACGGUCCGGAACCGGAUUGAGUCACUAAGAGGAUUUGGCAACAGACGAUAUAGCAAAGCUAUGGAAUUGUGGUUUACUACUAGAUGAAAUUUUUCUAGAGUAGUUUCAAAAGUUUCAUAUUCUUUAAAACAAAGACACAUCCAUUGUAAAAAAGUGUUCUUUGUCUUGAAUAAAUUUAACAUUCAUUCAAAAAAAAAAUAAAAUAAAGAACCAAAACUGAUGAUACUAUAUGAUUUGUCCUAUUCCUACGUCUCAAAAUGUUUGUCACUAAUAGGUUUGACAAAUUAUAACAGAAAACGCAUGAUUGAUAAAUAAUUUUUGUCUUUCAAUUUAGCACAAAAAGACACUUGUUGGAUGAAGGACACUUCUUCAUUGUGCAAUAUGUUCUACGUCCCCUCAAACUAACUAAAUUCUCUCCUAACUAGAACACCUUUAACUAACUAAGCUGUCACUUUCCAUAUUUUUAAAAACAAUUUGCCAAAUCAGUUUCUUUAUUUUUGAGUUUUCGGAAACCAUCAUUUAUUCUCUCUCCAACUUUACUUUUUGAAAUUCAGAUCUACGUUUCCCAAUUUGAGAGUCCUUUCGUUUAGUGACCCUUAUUCUGCUAAAACUCUUCUUCUUCAUCUUCAAUUUCUCAGUAAAACACCAUGAAUCUAGAGGGCUUGCAACGGUUGUGACUGUGUAAUCUCGUAUCCAUCUCUUCAUAUCUCAUCACCUUUCUCCUUCAUUCUCUGUCGUCCGAUUUCAUUACCUUUCUCCUUAAAAUCCCUAACUUUUUAUGUUUUCUUGUUUUAAUUGUUUGUGUUGUACUUUUCCAAUUGAAUCGAAUCUCUGAGAUUUUGUGGACGGGAGAGAUGACGAGCAGAUCCGAGAGCUCCGGUGUGGAGAGGACAACGCGACGGCAAGCAGGUCCGAGUUCCGUUGUGGAGAGGACGGCCAGCAGAUCCGAGCUCCGGUGUGGAGAGGACGCAACGACGAGCAGGUCCAACUUCCGUUGUGGGAAAGACGACGACAAGCUCUCGUGUCUAUUAUGUUUUUUGAAUAUAAGCUCUUGUUUGUUGACUAUAAACCCUUCAUCAUGAUUAAUAAAAUUGGCCUCAUCUGUUUAUUGAA